AAAAGUGGGGAUGCAUCCUCGGCACACAAUGCCUUUCAUAUGGCAUUUAUCCACAAGGCACAACCGGCUCCCUCAAGAUGAAUAAUGAACUAAACAAGAUCAAAUAAUUAUCACAUGGGAGCAGCAGAGAGAACUCGCUCACAAACACGACCGAGUUUACCUUAGAUUCUUCCCGCACAUCACACAACAGAGUCGGAGCAAGAAGUGUGCACCGAGGCAGGUUGUCAUGUGCAACAGAAGCCACAGUGAGGUCUUGCAAGGACAGCGCUCAUGAUUAGUUUCAGUGUUUGUCAGAAACUUUUCCUCGUCGCUGUUUUUAUUACGGUGUUGCUUGUCGAGUUAUGACCUUAUGUUUACUUUUCCUUCACCAAGUCUCCGUUUCCUUUUCUAUACAGCACUGCCAGAAGAAUCCACGAACAACAUCCUCUGGAGUCAAGGUUAGUGUAAACUUUCACUGGUGGCAAAGCCAGAGAGACUUCUGCAAAAUUAUUAACAAUCCACAACAUCGAACAAAAUGUGACUGACACAUUUACUUUUUAUUCAAAGAACUACUGAACUAGAGUUGGUUUCCAUUCUAAAGAGAGCGGCCCCUUUAGGACACGAGUCUGACCAGUCCUAAUGAAACACAUCACUCAGUUUUUCAGGAGCUAUAGUAAGAGAAUAGGCUUCCUAGAUAAUUUAGAGCAGUCUAUGUCACGACAGUGAAUAUUUGAAUUGAACUAUUCAUUUUAAUUAAACUAAAUCUGAACUCUUGUACUUCAAAUUGUCUUCCAUACGUGGCCCCAGUCAGUCAUAACAACUCAGCGUAGCCAGUGAAGUGCUUCCUGCUGGAACAAAUUCCGGCUCCUUUCCCUCCUGAACCUCUCCACAGCAUUGUCAUGGAAAAAGUAGACGGGCCCGAGGCGUCCCGCUGGCUCACCUGGGGAAUGAGCAUACCACGUGUGACGUCACUCCUGAACAAAAAGGAAAUCUUAGAAAAGCAGGAGGAAACUUGUGUUCUGGAGUUCCGGCAAAACGGGUGUCGGGGUGCAGUGGAAUGCCGUCACGCUCCUACCGAGUGUGAUACAAAUGUGAGUCUAAGGAAACAUCUGUUUUGUCAUGUCUGUGUAGAACCACAUAUUCAAAUCAAGCCCUUCUGUAUGUGACUCGCCUGCUUGAGCAGUCUGUAUCGGCUGGAAAACUCGUACUGUCGAGCGAAGACUCGUUGAACUUGCAAAUGUUUGCAUUAGCCUUGAAUAUCAAAUGUUGAUUUCAAUCUCUUCAAAGCUCUGACAAAGUGCUGACACUGUGGCCCUUUGUGAUGUGUUUAUUGUGGAAAUUCAAGUCGGGGAAUGAUGACAAAGCCCUGAGGUGAAUUCAUAUGUAUAUGCUUUAGCGGCCACUAACAGCGCGCUGGCAGAAAGAGAUGUUUCAGUCCGUAUCUCUUCCUCUUCAUCUGUCUUUGUUCCCCCCUCCCCUCCCUCCUCGCUCUACUCAGCACUGAUAUAUCUUUCUUCACUUAUAACCACCCCCCUCCCCUCACCUCUGGCCUCGCGUCCUCGCCCCCUCCCACCGGCGCACACAAUAAAUAUCAUGUCACGAGGAUGGCA
ensembl:lncRNA